rnacentral:lncRNA from 1 species
UAGGAGAAUAGAUAAUCUGCAUGGCAGCAUUGUAGUAGUCAGCAUAGAUGAUGAUGACAUUCGGAUGAAGCUCUCGAAGGUGGUUUAGUUUCUUUAUCAGCAGAUCAUUGUGGUAUUCGACAAGUUCAUUGUACCUGAUGAGACAACCGGUUCUGUUAUCGUAAUCUUUUUUGUUUCUAGAAGCACGAACUGUUAGAAUUGAACUAGAACACCCAAUUGGAAAGGUUCCUGGAACAACCAGUGUUUGAGCCCCCAUAUCGAUUAGCUCCUGUAUUCAAAACUAUUAGAAUCAGUUAAACCCAUGAGAAAAGUACAUGUCUUUCCAUGCUCUGAUAGGUCAGCGUUGUAUUUGUAAUCCCGAUAAAGCAACUUCAGCUUGUGAUGUUGAUGUAGGUGUAGGUGUAGGACACAAGGAAUUAAAGCGGGGUGUAGUAUAUUGGCCAUUAAAUAAACUCUUGAAUAUUAUUCUAUAUGCAUCUUCUGUAAAGUGUAUUCCAUCCCAGUAAGCAUACGCAUCCGGGUCAUCACACACAGUCGCAAGUACAUGUCCACAUUGCGCUGACAGAUUGAUGUUGUAGUUGUAUGGGCCUCCACCUCCACAACACGACUUCAAAACCGGAUUUGUGAAUCCUAAAAUAUUUUGAAUUCCAUCCCAACAUGAACAUAAAUCAAGAUACUAAAUUACUCAAUAACAUGGUAAAUCGUGGAGCACUAGCAAUAUUAUAACAUUUUUUAUACCAAAUUUAAUAGGAUAAUAGAUAAUCUGCAUGGCAGCAUUGUAGUAGUCAGCAUAGAUGAUGAUGACAUUCGGAUGAAGCUCUCGAAGGUGGUUUAGUUUCUUUAUCAGCAAAUCAUUGUGGUAUUCGACAAGUUCAUUGUACCUGAUGAGACAACCGGUUCUGUUAUCGUAAUCUUUUUUGUUUUUAGAAGCACGAACUGUUAGAAUUGAACUAGAACACCCAAUUGGAAAGGUUCCUGGAACAACCAGUG